GGAGGAAAAGAAACUAACUAGGAUUCCCUCAGUAGCUGCGAGCGAACAGGGAAAAGCCCAGCACCGAAUCCCGCGACCGACACCGGGCGCCGGGAAAUGUGGUGUUAGGGAGGGUCAAGUCCCGAGGUCGUGCGGCAAGUCCAAGUCCAUCUUGAACGGGGCCACAGCCCAUAGAGGGUGCCAGGCCCGUAGCGACGGCUGCCGAUCCCGGGAAUUCUUCUCCUUAGAGUCGGGUUGCUUGAGAGUGCAGCCCUAAGCGGGUGGUAAACUCCAUCUAAGGCUAAAUAUGACCACGAGACCGAUAGCGAACAAGUACCGUGAGGGAAAGUUGAAAAGCACUUUGAAGAGAGAGUUCAAGAGUACGUGAAACCGUUCAGGGGUAAACCUGAGAAACCCGAAAGGUCGAAAGCGGAAAUUCAUUCGCGUUUCGAUCGCGAACGCGCGACGGCGACGACCGAAGAUCUCCGGAUCUGAGGCGAUCUUUCGUUGCGCAGAAUUUGCGUCGAACGUGUGCACUUUUCUGCUUGUAGAACGUCGCGAUUCGUUGGGUGUCGAUCUAAGGCCCGCGGUGGAGCCCGUGCGCGCGUUGUUUCGGCAGCGUCGCGCUCGGACCCGCGGUGUCCCGGUCGGCUCGCUCGACGGUAUACGCUGGGCGCGAGGCCGCUAUUUAGUUAGCGUCCGGCCCGUCGCAAGCGCGCCGGAUCGCCGAAGAUCGGACCUAGUGCCGAUCCCGGCCUCCGGUGACUGUUGGCGGCGUGGUCCUCGGACAGACCUCGUUCUGAAACGCCAAUCGGCGACGCUAUAGCUUUGGGUACUUUCAGGACCCGUCUUGAAACACGGACCAAGGAGUCUAGCAUGUGCGCGAGUCAUUGGGACAUCACUAAACCUAAAGGCGCAAUGAAAGUAAAGGUUCGCCUAGCGCGGACCGAGGGAGGAUGGGCGGCGUUUUGCGCCGCUCCGCACUCCCGGGGCGUCUCGUUCUCAUUGCGAGAAGAGGCGCACCAAGAGCGUACACGCUGGGACCCGAAAGAUGGUGAACUAUGCCUGGUCAGGACGAAGUCAGGGGAAACCCUGAUGGAGGUCCGUAGCGAUUCUGACGUGCAAAUCGAUCGUCGGAACUGGGUAUAGGGGCGAAAGACUAAUCGAACCAUCUAGUAGCUGGUUCCCUCCGAAGUUUCCCUCAGGAUAGCUGGCGCUCGUUUUGAACGAGUCUCAUCCGGUAAAGCGAAUGAUUAGAGGCAUUGGGGUCGAAACGACCUCAACCUAUUCUCAAACUUUAAAUGGGUGAGAUCUCCGGCUUGCUUAACCGCGCUGAAGCCGGAGAAACGGAUCAGAGUGCCAAGUGGGCCAUUUUUGGUAAGCAGAACUGGCGCUGUGGGAUGAACCAAACGCCGAGUUAAAGCGCCUAAACCGACGCUUAUGGGAUACCAUGAAAGGCGUUGGUAACUUAAGACAGCAGGACGGUGGCCAUGGAAGUCGGAAUCCGCCAAGGAGUGUGUAACAACUCACCUGCCGAAGUUACUAGCCCUGAAAAUGGAUGGCGCUGAAGCGUCGUGCUUAUACUCGGCCGUCGGCGGCAUGUACGACUUUCUUCGGAAAUUCAUGAAGCCCCGACGAGUAGGAGGGUCGCGGCGGUGAGCGCAGAAGGGCUGGCCGUGAGGCCGUCUGGAGCCGCCGUCGGUGCAGAUCUUGGUGGUAGUAGCAAAUACUCCAGCGAGGCCCUGGAGGACUGACGUGGAGAAGGGUUUCGUGUGAACAGCCGUUGCACACGAGUCAGUCGAUCCUAAGCCCUAGGCGAAAGCCGAUGUUGAUGCGGUGUAGGUUUAUAACUGACGCAACUACGACGACGACGACCGCACGCAACAUCAGUUGUCGCGCAGUUGUCGUUGUUUGUGUAAUGACACAGUUGGCACACACCCGUCGGGCGAAAGGGAAUCCGGUUCCUAU
rnacentral:rRNA from 1 species